GGAAAGGAACUUUUUUUUUUCCUCAGAGAGGAAGAGAAAACUUGAACACACAAUUCUAGGGAAGAAGAUUUCAGGCUACUCACUGCUUCUCCAUGUACCUGUGUGAUAAGAUCUAUUCCUGGGCAAAGCAGAAGAAAGAUGACACCAAAGAUAUUUUUUAAAAAGAAAGCAAGACCUACUGACAGAGCAUAUGUAAGAGGGGCAUACAUGAAACAGCUGGAUAAUCAGAAAGGCUUCACGAGAUAUUCAGUUGCUUGAGAUGACAUCUGAGCAGCCACAGAGUUACAGAGGGAGUGGUGAGCCACAUCAGGAUGGGCUUUCCAGAGGGCCACAGUCUGGAGCUGAUAUUGGAAAGUGCUCAAGGUCUCUAAUAGGUGGAAAAUGCAAAUCUUAAUUCAAGGAACCGACCUGCUAAUCCUGACUGUCUAGAAAAUAUUCCCUAAGGAAAAAAGAUGGCCCCCUCCUUCAAUGGAACCCUUCAGAGUGGAAAGAGAAUGACACAACAAUAAAUGCAAAAGCAAAACACAGUUAAAUGGAAAAAGUUAAAUGGAAAAAGAAAAUAUGCAGAUGUCUUCUAAAGAAGGACCUGGAAGAAGUUAGAGGGUAUAGAGGCUUGUUCUAAAGCAGGCACACCCAUCCUGCACCUCUCUUCAUGCUUCCCUACCAGGGACUAACCCGGCAGAAUUUUUAAGCAGUAUCUAUUUUGUGGUUGCUGACUGCUGUGGGGAUGCCAACCUCAGAAGGUGUUGAUAUUGGAGGAAGAACUGCAGACCACGAGUGACUGCAGUUCCUCUUUAAAGGUGUUUUAUUAGACAAUAUAUGCCAUCUUUUCUUUAUGUCUCACACUUAAUCCUCCACACAGAGGUAUUAUGUGAGAAACUGUGUGGGGCGCUUAAAGACCUGCACACCAUCAGUAAUGCAAUUAAAAUUGGCAUUUAUAAAAGUAUAUUUUGAUUCCUAAUCCUGUUUUUACAAGUGCAAAAUCACAUUAGAAAACAAUGUGAUGCUAAUUAAAGCUUUGUCACCCAUAAGACCUUAGUGAAUUGCAUUUUGUAAUAGGCUCUGAUGCAGAAGCAAUUUCUGCUGCGAAACUUAAGCAGAAUAUGUGGCUACAUUUCUUGUUACUCUAUUAAAACCAGUGCUACAGUUGUGUAUGUUACUGUCGUGUUUUUAUCUCUAAACUGAGCUUGAAAUGUCAUGUCAUCUAAAGUUAAAUUCAAAAGCUGAAAAAUUGCAUUAUAUUUGCAUACUUAAAAAGCAGUCAAAAGGCCAGGGAUACUAUUGAUUUUCUUGGUAAAUAUUAAGAGAAAUGAUUGAAACAUCAACAUAUAGAUUCGCAUCUUAUAUGAAUCCCAUCUUGUAAAA